GGUUGUUUGAUCACAAGGCAAUGUGGUGUUUAGGUUUGUCGACGGAAUUACUGCUCCACUCCAAGUCCAGUCUUGAGCAUGGUUUACAGACAUGGCCCACAGAGGGUGUAAGGCCCGUGGGAGUGGAGAUCUCGGCAGUAGUUUCUCGGGCAGACCUUGGAGUCGGGUUGUUUGAGAAUGCAGCCCAAAGCGGGUGGUAAACUCCAUCCAAGGCUCAAUACUGACACGAGUCCGAUAGCGCACAAGUACCGUGAGGGAAAGUUGAAAAGAACUCUGAAGAGAGAGUGAACAGUACGUGAAACCGCUCAGAGGUAAACGGAUAGAGUUGAACUGCAAGCCCGUGGAGAUUCAACUAGCAAGUAUGACCGUGUGGCCAACGUGGGUGUCUGCGUUAAACCGGGUCAGGUUUUCGGACCUUGAUUGGCAAUGCACUUAUUCAUGUGUUGUUUGCAUCCUCGCUUUGGUGGCCAGCUUGUUAGUGCACUUCUUCCGGGUGUUCAUCACGACCGACGCAUCGCCUGUCUGCUGCGGCCAAACCAUCACGUUUCGUGUCCUUGUGGCUCAAGCUUGGUGGGAUGGCAGGUAGCUUGUACGGCUUUCGGGCCGUCAAGUGUAAUAGCCGGUUGUAGCGGAGCUGUGCGGCGUGUCGGCGACAGCGGUCUUUUCAUAGGCCAACAGUCAGUGAUGUCGUGGUAAGCUCUCUACCCGACCCGUCUUGAAACACGGACCAAGGAGUUUAACAUGUGCGCGAGUCAUUGGGUUCUACGAAACCUACAGGCGCAAUGAAAGUAAUGGCGAGAUCCGGUUGCUGCCGUUAAAAGCGGCGACUGGCGCAUCGCCGGCCCGUCCCGUUGUGUUGUCGUAGCCAGUUCGCUGGUUGCGCGUCACUGGGGUGGAGCAUGAGCGUACACGUUGAGACCCGAAAGAUGGUGAACUAUGCUUGUGUAGAUUGAAGCCAGGGAAACCCUGGUGGAAAAUCGUAACGAUUCUGACUGCAAAUCSAUCGUCAAC
rnacentral:rRNA from 1 species